rnacentral:rRNA from 1 species
CGUAGGAAUCUACCCAGUAGCGGGGGAUAAGCCAGAGAAAUUUGGUCUAAUACCGCAUACGCCCUUCGGGGAAAGCAGGGGAUCUUUGGACCUUGCACUAUUGGAUGAGCCUGCGUGAGUUUAGCUAGUUGGUGAGGUAAUGGCUCACCAAGGCGACGAUCUCUAGCUGGUCUGAGAGGAUGAUCAGCCACACUGGAACUGAGACACGGUCCAGACUCCUACGGGAGGCAGCAGUGGGGAAUAUUGCACAAUGGGCGCAAGUGAUGCAGCCAUGCCGCGUGUGUGAAGAAGGCCCUAGGGUUGUAAAGCACUUUCAGCAGUGAGGAAAGGUUAGUAGUUAAUACCUGCUAACUGUGACGUUAACUGCAGAAGAAGCACCGGCUAACUCCGUGCCAGCAGCCGCGGUAAUACGGAGGGUGCGAGCGUUAAUCGGAAUUACUGGGCGUAAAGCGCGCGUAGGUGGAUUGGUCAGUCAGAUGUGAAAGCCCAGGGCUCAACCUUGGAACUGCACCUGAUACUGCCAGUCUAGAAUACGGUAGAGGGUAGUGGAAUUUCCUGUGUAGCGGUGAAAUGCGUAGAUAUAGGAAGGAACACCAGUGGCGAAGGGACUACCUGGACCGAUAUUGACACUGAGGUGCGAAAGGUGGGGAGCAAACAGGAUUAGAUACCCUGGUAGUCCACGCCGUAAACGAUGAGAACUAGAUGUCGGGAGGAUCUGCCUUUCGGUGUCGCAGCUAACGCGUUAAGUUCUCCGCCUGGGGAGUACGCCGGCAACGUAAAACUCAAGGAAUUGACGGG